rnacentral:rRNA from 1 species
UACAGAGGUCUCAAGCGUUGUUCGGAAUUACUGGGCGUAAAGGGUGCGCAGGCCGCGCGGGCAGUCAAAUGUGUAAUUCAGGGGCUCAACCCCUGCACUGCGCUUGAUACUUCCGCGCUAGAACCUUGGAGAGGAGUCUGGAAUUUUCGGUGUAGCAGUGAAAUGCGUGGAUAUCGAAAAGAACACUAAGGGCGUAGGCAAGACUCUGGACAAGUGUUGACGCUCAAGCACGAAGGCUAGGGUAGCGAACGGGAUUAGAAACCUUG